CUGGAAGUCCAAGUAUGCUAUGUUGACUGGAUCACCUUUAUCCACAUGCCUGCUGACACUCUCAAAGAACUUCAAAAGAUUCCCUAACUCUACUUGUUAGCCAUACUGGCAUCCUCCUGAACAUGGUGGCACCUUUCCUCCUCCUUGGUAUAUAUUCCAACUGAAGAAUGUGUGUAAGAAAAUGAAGAAUGCACUGACCGAAAGUGCCUGUAACUUGGUCACUCUUCUGGCAGAAGGGAUGGCUAUCAAGAAUGAUAACUUGAACGACAGCUUGAGAGACAUCGAUCAAACAGGCUCGAAUGGAGGCGACUGAAAUGCUCUUAGAACUGCAUUAAAAUUUGAGGUUGGGAAUCGAUGUAUUGUUGUAGGAGACAUGAGAGUAGCCCCUCUAAGGAACCGUUUGAGGCUGGAAGACUAAUGAGGAUAUGAAAAUCAAAAGAGCAAGUACUAAAGACAAAGACAAAGUAAAAUGAAUAAAUAAGAAAGAUAAAGAUAUAAGCCUCAGAACAGGAACAAGAGAAGGCUGUCUCUGGAGCUGGAUUGCAGGACUAAGGAAACUGGAUUGGGCUAUCCUCGGGGUUUUAAAAGCUUCUAUCUAAUUCACAUACUCCUGCCUCUGGAGCACAUGAGAGUGAUAACCCAUAUGAGAUGAUCUCAUCAAGAUACAGAGAAUGAUAUAUUUCACAGAGCGUACAUGUGGCCUUGGUUAAAAAAUAGGUCACUUAGCUUAAUGAGCUUAUUGACCUAAAGCAAGCCAACUUCAGUUAAAGACCUUUCUUGUCUAUCUUUUACCUCAUUUUCCAGUAUGGGAGGGUGGACUUAUCCUUCUACAAGACUUUCUAAGACAUGCAUUUACCAAGGAGAUAUGUUAACCUCUUUGUGACUGCCAUUGUAUAUUCUGAAGCUUUGAAGAAGCUUGACUUUCCUGCCUUCUCAAUGUGAUUUUUAUUCAUUUAUUUGUCUUUUUGUCUUUGUCUCAACUCAUAGAAAGGAGAGAUUGCUUCCUGUCAAUAAGAGCAGUGCUCUCUCCUGAGAUGUUUCUUCCAAGACUUAUAUGUUUCUGUCUAUUGCCCUGAAGGCUAACUGCUCUUGCCUGUCAUUGUGAUCUUACUUCAAAUCUAUUUCAGUGCUUUUUGGCUCUGUUAUGUCUUUUGCAUUUAUUAGAUGCAGAGCUGCAAAAUUUUGAUGGAAAAUAUUAGACUACUUUUUCAGAAACAGUGAAUUACAUUUAAAAAUACAACUCUAUCUAAACUUGUACUUCUACAUAUUUUCAAAAAGGAGAAAUGUUAAUCUUCAUAUCUCUCUUUGAAUAACUUUUGCUAUAUUUUUCAACUUCUGCACAAAUUAAUUUAAGGUGAGUUGAGAGUAAAAGGAUCACAUUGAAUUGAAUUUCUUAACCCAUUCUGUUUAAAGCAUGAUUUAAUAGUUAGAAAAAUUAAUUUAUCAGAUAUUUGUUGUGAAACUGACACAGUUUUGGUAAUCUAUUAAGUAAGCAGAUUUGAUCUUUAAUAUAAUUACAUUAUUAUCCUUGACUGGCAUAAAACAAUGAUAUUAAUAUGUAUCAGCUUUUAUACAUAUGAUCAGGUGCCCUUUACUACCACUUAUACUUUCUGCAAGACUAAUAUUUUUCUUAAACACAAAUUUGGAACAGAUUCUAACGUAUCAGCAAGUGGCAUCACAGAAAUUGCCUAUGCCUGAGUUCCAAGGAUUCGUCUACUACCUGCAGCCCCUGUGCACAAUCCUACUCCCUUCUUGAAGGUUCUCCAACUAUAGGAGAGGUUCUUUGGAGAAUGCUGCGGUGGGGAGGAUGGAACAUCAUUCUACUCAUACAUGUUAGGAUCCAAUCCAAUAUAAGUUGUUAAUUGAAUCUGUUUGGCAAUAUAAGUGCAAUAUAAGUGCUAAGUGGUCCUUAUCUCAUGCAUUCUCCUCUUUGAGUUAGGUAGUAAUUACUAAUCUCAGCUGUAUAAUCAGGAAACUGGGACUGCAAUAUAAUGACUUUGCUGAAACCCCCCUGGAAAGUUCAAUUAAUAUCUGAGGAGGAAUACAAAUCAGGCUCGUAAUGUUUAAAGUUGGUAUUAAGCUAGUCAUAGACCAAAAUAAAUAAAUUGAUUGAUUGCAGGCUUGCCACAUCCAACACUCUAGCCUACUGGGCACUAUUAAUGUAGUCUUGCACAUUUUAAGGGUAAUGAUGACUGACAACAUCCAGACUAGUUAAUCAUAACUAACAACCAUUGAAAUCAAUGAAACAACUUAGUUGCGACUAAUUUUGUCCGGAUGUUGCCUGACAAAAAUAGUCACUAAAAUAAUACUAUUUUUAAAAGUUCAAUAUUGUAAACUGGUGAUACCUUCAGUUGUUAGUAAAAUAGAUGUCACUUUUCCUCCCCAAAGAUCUAAAAUCCGACUUAUAUACUAAAGUGAAUAAAAUUUCCCUUGAAAUGGUGCAAUAUGUUUCAAAUGACUUUAACACCCACAGUCCUAAUCCUAACCAAGCAUUUCUCACAUUCAUGAAUGUAUAUGGUAAAGGCAAUCACCCUUUAAUCCUUAUUAUUGUAAAAUCAUAGGGAACAGAAGCAUAUUGGGGGAAAGAGUUCAGGUGUCUAUGCAAUUUGUAAAUUAAGAGUAACAUAUUAAACAGUUAGUUUUAAUUUAUGCUAAUCUAUCUGGAUUGUUUAAGAAUCCUAAUCAGAAUUCUUCAGGUUGAUCCAGUCACCAAAAAGUGGGAGCAGCCUUCUUCAGAACUCACAAUUUCUUCCUCAAGGGUCAGAGCAUAAGAGAAGAAGCAGCUGUAUGGUAUGUUACAUCAAAAAUACAUGUAAGGCUAGAGAGUGAAUGAAACACAGGAGCAAGUGGUCAUGCAAACAAUGAACUAUGAGAAAUAAAGUAACUCUCUAACUAAUGAGGUCUUCCCUUGAGAUAAAUGACCUCAGAACAGUAGUACAUCUGCUGGUCAUCUCCAGACUUGACGACUACAAUGCGCUCUAUGUGGGGCUGCCUUUGUACGUAGUCCAGAAACUGCAGUUGGUACUAGGGGCAUAGCAAGGUUGAAGUAGCCCAGAGACAAGAUUUUAAAAUUCCUCCCUCCACUGAAGCUCAGCUCAUGAAGUAAAGAAAUCUUAAAUGAGGCUGAAUAGUGGUAACAAAAAGCAGUGUGUGUGUGUAUCUAUAUAUAUCUAUAUAUAUCCCCUAUGUGCCACAAUAGAACAUCAUCCUAAAUUAUUUUUUUUAAGUUUUUGUAAAUUGUGGACGAUGCAAGUCAUUUAAUGGUACUAGAGAAAGACAUGCUGU